rnacentral:rRNA from 1 species
AGAGUUUGAUCAUGGCUCAGGAUGAACGCUAGCGGCAGGCUUAAUACAUGCAAGUCGAGGGGCAUCAAGGUACACGAAAGUGUAUUGUUGGCGACCGGCGGACGGGUGAGUAAUAGGUAGGUAACCUACCUCAUACUGAGGCAUAGCUGGGAGAAAUUCCAGGUAAUUCCUCAUGAGGUUAUAUGACACAUGUGAUAUAAUCAAAGGUAUCGCAAGGUACUGGUAUGAGAUGGGCUUACUGACCAUUAGCUAGUUGGUGAGAUAAGAGCUCACCAAGGCGAAGAUGGUUAGGGGUUUUGAGAGAGAGAUCCCCCACAUUGGAACUGAGAUACGGUCCAGACUCCUACGGGAGGCAGCAGUAGGGAAUAUUGGGCAAUGGGCGGAAGCCUGACCCAGCCAUGCCGCGUGAAGGAGGACGGCCUUAUGGGUUGUAAACUUCUUUACUAUGCGACUAACUAGAUUUACGAGAUAAUUCUAUAGAAUGUAGCAUAGCAAAAAGCACCGGCUAACUCCGUGCCAGCAGCCGCGGUAAUACGGAGGGUGCGAGCGUUAUUCGGAAUUACUGGGUUUAAAGGGUGCGUAGGCGGCUAAGUAAGUUGUCAUUGAAAGGCUACAGCUCAACUGUAGUAGUGGUGGCGAUACUGCUUAGCUAAGAACAUGGGAGGGGUACUUGGAAUGUGUGGUGUAGCGGUGAAAUGCGUAGAUAUCACACAGAACACCAGAGGCGAAGGCGGAGUACUAGACCAUAGUUGACGCUGAGGCACGAAAGCGUGGGGAUCAAACAGGAUUAGAUACCCUGGUAGUCCACGCCCUAAACGAUGAUCACUAGAUAUUGGCGACAAACAGUCAGUGUCCAAGCGAAAGUGAUAAGUGAUCCACCUGGGGACUACGGCCGCAAGGUUAAAACUCAAAGGAAUUGACGG